rnacentral:piRNA from 1 species
UAGGACCACAUUGUUAUUCCUUUCAGGGGUA